rnacentral:lncRNA from 1 species
GGAGCCUUCAGCCGCAGUGCUGCCGUUCAGUGCCUGCUAUCACUCAUACAGAAACAGCGCCUGCAGAGCGCCGUGCGAGGGCCGACCUGGCGCUCACCCCCGAGCAGCCUGGGAAACGCCGACCACAAACGCGCACUGAAUGCAUCCAAAGCCACAAGCUGCUGCUUUUUUUUUUUUUUUUCUCUUUUCUUCUUUUUCUUUUUUAGCUCGUGAGCUGUGACACUUUUUAUGAAGGCCCUUGUAAUGUAACAGGGAAGAAGAACUGAAAAUUCCCGAGGUGCAUUUUAUGCGGUGUGAAAUAUUAUCUCCUCCAGGUUCAUCUCUUGAAAGCUGCCCUUUGCUGCGCUCUGGUUUGAUGGAUAAUGGCAAACAUGAACAAAUCUGCUGUGUGUAAGGAGGAGAGGAGGAUCCUGCCAAGGAGACCUCUCCAGAGACCUUUUAUUUUUACCCAAACCUCUUUCUUUUUAAAGUUUUUAGCACUUCGAACUGAAAUUUCAGUACAGCAGCAGAUGUUACUUAUCAAAUCCCUUCUAAAUAUUCUCUGUUCUACAGCAAACUGUAUUUUGAGAUGACAAAUAUGACCUUACAAGGAGCUGGGCAGCUAACUGAGGACCCACUGCCUUGCUGGGGUGAGCCUGGCCUUUAAAGCCCCAUGGUAAGCAAGGCAGCACCUGCUCCUGUUCCUAGAUGGGUCCUGUUCCUGAUGUCCCCAUCCCCCAGCUGGAAGCAGGGAAACUCAGCCAGGUCCCAAGGCCACAGCUCAGGCUCCAUCCCCCAGUGCAGAGCCCCCCACUGCUCAGCCCGGCAGCAGGACGGUCACUGUGGCUGUUGGCACUGUGAGUGCAUUCCAAAACCAACUUCUAAUACACCAGGUGCUUCCAUGAACGCAAAACUCCUGCUGCAGGGAACGGUUGGACUGGGAUGAGUUAGUCCAGCAUGGGUUGCGUGGAUGAAGCUCUCGCUGAAGGUUCACGCUUGGCACAUUUGGGGGGCUGAAAUCUGGAGCAAUCCAGCAGUCUUCAGUCACCAGCUACCUCCAGGGCCACUGUCCCUGUGGGCCCUUUGGUCACUGUGGAUGUGGAGCUGCCACGGGACCCCAGAAUCAACUGCUGCAUCCCCGUGGUGAGGGGUGUCCUGGUGGGACCUCACCCUGUGCAUCUCCUG